GACGAACGCUGGCGGCGUGCUUAACACAUGCAAGUCGAACGGAAAGGCCCUGCUUGCAGGGUACUCGAGUGGCGAACGGGUGAGUAACACGUGGGUGAUCUGCCCUGCACUUCGGGAUAAGCUUGGGAAACUGGGUCUAAUACCGGAUAGGAGCCAUCUUUAGUGUGGUGGUUGGAAAGUUUUUUCGGUGUAGGAUGAGCUCGCGGCCUAUCAGCUUGUUGGUGGGGUAAUGGCCUACCAAGGCGGCGACGGGUAGCCGGCCUGAGAGGGUGUACGGCCACAUUGGGACUGAGAUACGGCCCAGACUCCUGCGGGAGGCAGCAGUGGGGAAUAUUGCACAAUGGGCGCAAGCCUGAUGCAGCGACGCCGCGUGGGGGAUGAAGGCCUUCGGGUUGUAAACUCCUGUCGCUAGGGACGAAGCUUUGUUGUGACGGUACCUAGAGAAGAAGCACCGGCUAACUACGUG
rnacentral:rRNA from 1 species